UUUUUUUUUUUUUUCCUUAAUUUCAGUUUAGCUUUAAUUUUCCCCAAAUCCACUGUGUAGUCCAGGCUGAUUUUGAACUUGGAGUAAUUCCCUUGCUUCAGUUUUACAGGCUGGGCUUACAGGCAUGAGCCACCAUGCCCAAGCUAGUACAGUUACUGUGGGCUCUCAGCCCCACUAUUGAGAGCCCUUGUAGUCAAUAAUCUUGGAAUUUGUGUGUGUGUGUGUAUGCAUAUGCAUGUGUUUAUACAUACAGACAUACAUAUAUGCAAAUUAAUGUUAUAACCUUGGAAGGAGUUCAUUGUAGUGUCUUCUUUCAAACAUAUCCAUCUUAGCUGGAAAUUAUUCAAGUUUUUAGGCUAAGUGGGAUAUAAUAAAUGUCUUGCUGUGGGUUCUGGUAAGGUUUUUGUGUUUUUAUUUAUUUCGUAUCAGUGUAAGAGAGCCCCGGCACUUUAACUAGAGGUUAAAGGACAUUUUGGGAGCUGGUUUCUUCUUCACUAUUUGGGGCCAAUGAUCAAACUCAGGCCAGGCCAGGCUUGGUUGCAGAAAUCUUUGGGGCUAGAGAGAUCCAUGCUUCAUUCAGAGCACUCAAGUUCAGUUCUCAGCUCCCUUGUCAGACAGCUCACAAUUGCUUAUAAUUUUAGUUCUGGGGUGUGUGACCCCACUCCUGCACAUUUGUGGCAUGUAGACAGGGCAUCCUGUUUCUGUGCAUUACACACAUUAAAAAUACCCUUUACCUCUUGAGCCAACUCAUCAACAACUGUGAAUCCUUCUAUUUUUUAAAAAUUAUGUUAAAUCCAUUGAUACUGUAAUUAUACAAUGUAUCUUUUUCUAGAAGAAUUUUGAGCAUCUAUUAAAGUUAGGUGUUUAAAUCUCAUUACACUAGAGAGGUGAGCUACUACUAGUCUGGUAAUAUACUAUAGUAGUGAUUCUUUAAAAGAAGUGAGUGGAGGUUACCAUGGUACCCCUUUCUAAUAUAGCCCCCUCCUACUUGGUAGAUGGAGCAAAGUGGUUAAGACCAUAAAAUUAUAAUAUUGUACACUAGACUUAGGUCAUUUCUUUCAUGAUGAAAACUAUUUGCUGGGUGUGGUAGCAUAUCCCUUAAUCCUAAUACUGGGGAGGCAGAGAUCUCAAGUUCAAGGACAGCCUGGUCUACAGAGCAAGAUCCAGGACACAAAGAAACCUUGUCUCACCUUCCAGAUGAAAACCCC
rnacentral:lncRNA from 1 species